rnacentral:rRNA from 1 species
UACGUAGGGGGCAAGCGUUGUCCGGAAUCAUUGGGCGUAAAGCGCGUGUAGGCGGCUCGAUAAGUCUGCUGUGAAAGUCCAAGGCUCAACCUUGGGAUGCCGGUGGAUACUGUCGAGCUCGAGUCCGGAAGAGGAGUGUGGAAUUCCUGGUGUAGCGGUGAAAUGCGCAGAUAUCAGGAGGAACACCAAUGGCGAAGGCAGCACUCUGGGACGUGACUGACGCUGAGGCGCGAAAGCUAGGGGAGCAAACAGG